AUAGCCGUUAAAAGCCAAGAAGAAGAAGAAGAAGAAGAAUUCAGACAGAGAAAAGAGCAACUCUGAGACAACGACAGGCUGGCCCUGGAAGACGAGCUGACCAUAUUGAAUGAAAGAAUACAGAAAUACGAAAAGGAGCUGCAGGUGCUGAGAGGAGAGAACAGGAAGAACAUGAUGCUGUCCGUCGCUCUGUUAGCCACCAGUGCUCUUUUCUACUACACAUUUAUUUAUUAAGAAGUAUUUUCUGUCAUGCCAAACACUGUCUGAGAAUGAGAUUUGGGGACGCUGAUGUUUAUUCAUAUCCAUCGGUGUUCAUCAUUUGGCAACACUGGUUUGCUCAGAGGUUGUGGAUUUGUCAGUGUCGUUUUUGCCAUAAAUACCUUAUGCCAUCUUCAUCUUGGCCUCGACAUCCUGGAUUGCCUCAACUCUAUAUUUUGUUUGCCGUGUAACAGAGACAUUAGAUGCUUGUGCAUCAGAGACACAGAAUUGGGAUUAUGUAUGUUUAUAUGAUCCUCAUUGUCAAGCACUACCUAAUAAUGACUAAAUUAUGUUUCUCUCCAGAUCACUGUUUAUUGCAUUUCAACAGGACUAACAUGCACAAAGGUUGGAGGGGCAGAGGGUGUUAUUACAUCCAAAAAUAAAAUUUAUCAACAAAAUGUUCAGUUAAAAUAAAAAACAGCCAUCGAUAAAAUGCAAUACUGUCCCAUUAAACUGCCGUUCAUCCCUUUGAUAUCCUUGAUACUUGUAGCAAAUAGUAUUGGUAAUACACUCACUUGUAAUACAACAAAACGCUAGGCAGCCAGGUAUAUUUAGACCUAUUUUAAAUAAAAAGUUCAUUGAAAAAAUUAAAAUUUGCUCACUCACCCUCAGGACAUCCAAUAUG